rnacentral:rRNA from 1 species
AGCAUAUCAAUAAGCGGAGGAAAAGAAACCAACAGGGAUUGCCCCAGUAACGGCGAGUGAAGCGGCAACAGCUCAAAUUUGAAAUCUGGCCUCGGCCCGAGUUGUAAUUUGCAGAGGCAGCUUCUGGUGCGGCGCCGUCCGAGUCUCCUGGAACGGAGCGCCAUAGAGGGUGAGAGCCCCGUAUGGACGGAUGCCAAACCUGUGUGAAGCUCCUUCGACGAGUCGAGUAGUUUGGGAAUGCUGCUCUAAAUGGGAGGUAAAUUCCUUCUAAAGCUAAAUAUUGGCCAGAGACCGAUAGCGCACAAGUAGAGUGAUCGAAAGAUGAAAAGCACUUUGAAAAGAGGGUUAAACAGCACGUGAAAUUGUUGAAAGGGAAGCGCUUGUGACCAGACUUGAGCGCGGCGGAUCAUCCGGUGUUCUCACCGGUGCACUCCGCCGCUCCCAGGCCAGCAUCGGUUUCCGCGGGGGGACAAAGGUCCCGGGAACGUAGCUCCCUCGGGAGUGUUAUAGCCCGGGGCGCAAUGCCCCCGCGGGGACCGAGGACCGCGCAUCUGCAAGGAUGCNGGCGUAAUGGUCAUCAGCGACCCGU